ensembl:lncRNA
CCUGUAUUAGACAAGAAUGGGACAACAUUCCUAUUCCUAAACUUGAGCAGCUUGUCUCCUCAGCCCCAGACGUUUGCAGACUGUUAUAAAAAGAAGAGGGGAUGCCACACAGUGGUAAACAUGGCCUUGUCCCAACUUUUUUGAGAUGUGUUGAUGCCAUGAAAUUUAAAAUCAACUUAUUUUUCCCUUAAAAUGAUACAUUUUCUCAGUUUAAACAUUUGAUAUGUCGUCUAUGUUGAAUUCUGAAUAAAAUAUUGAAAUUUGAAACUUCCACAUCAUUGCAUUCUGUUUUUAUUCACAAUUUGUACAGUGUCCCAACUUUUUUGGAAGCGGGUUUGUGUGUGUGUUUAUAUAUAUAUAUAUAUAUCUCCAAAAGCCUUUUUGUAACCCAUCUGGUCCCGUGUUGUUCUAGGUAGACGCUUUAUUCCAGGAGGACUUCAGCAUGACUCCAGAUAAACUCUUCAGGACGUUUGACUAUGAGCCUGUGGCUGCUGUGAGUAAAGUACACAAGGCUGAGUUGCAUGAUGGGACACCUGUGGCUGUAAAGAAUACUCCCUGUUCAGUGAGAUGCUGCUGCAGCGGCCAUGGCCAGGUGGUAGGAGACGUGAAGCGACUAGGACAUGAUUCCACUUCAACACAUCUGUAG